rnacentral:rRNA from 1 species
CAGUCGCCGCGGGAAUACGAAGGUCCCGAGCGUUGUUCGGAAUCACUGGGCGUAAAGGGAGCGUAGGCGGCGUGGUAAGUCAGAUGUGAAAUCCCGGGGCUCAACCCCGGAACUGCAUCCGUUACUGCCGUGCUAGAGGAUUGGAGAGGUAGCUGGAAUUCUUGGUGUAGCAGUGAAAUGCGUGGAGAUCAAGAGGAACACUCGUGGCGAAAGCGAGCUACUGGACAAUAUCUGACGCUGAGGCUCGAAGGCCAGGGUAGCGAAAGGGAUUAGAUACCCCAGUAGUCCCUGUCUCUUAUAC